CUGUCUUUCUCUACACCUUCUAUGAUAGACUUGCUAAACUUGUAUUUCUCCAAUAUACACACGAUACCCAUUCAGGUCCUUUGCCCAUUUGCUAAUCAGAUUAUUUGUUUUUGCCUUUUUCCUUUUUUUUUUUUUUUUUUUGAGUUGGGCAGUUUUUUAUUUUUUAUUGAGUGGGGCAAGUUCCUUAUAUAUUUUGUAUAUUAAACCCGUAUUAGAUAUUAUGGUUUGCAAUAUUUCUCCCAUACUAUAAGUUACCUUUUCAUUUUGUUAAUAAUUUCCUUAGCUGUACAGAAGCUUUUUAUUUUAAUGUAGGCCUGCUUGUUUAUUUUUGCUUUUGUUGCUUGCGCUUUUGGUGUCACAUGGAAAGAAAUCAGUGCCAACAUCAAUGUCAAGAAGCAUUUUCUCUAUGUGUUUUUCUAAAAUUUUAUGGUUUCAGAUUUCAUAUUUAAGCU
rnacentral:lncRNA from 1 species